AUUGAACGCUGGCGGCAGGCCUAACACAUGCAAGUCGAGCGCGUGGCGGGCGGGUGUGUAAUGUAUGGGACACUGCCCUAUGGAGGGGGAUAACUCCUGGAACCGGUGCCUAAUACCGCAUACCAUCGGAUGUGCCCUGAUGGGAUGAGCUAGUAGGUGGGGUAACGGCUCACCUAGGCGACGAGCCCUAGCUGGUCUGAGAGGAUGACCAGCCACACUGGAACUGAGACACGGCCCAGACUCCUACGGGAGGCAGCAGUGGGGAAUAUUGCACAAUGGGCGCAAGCCUGAUGCAGCCAGGCCGCGUGUAUGAAGAAGGCUUUCGGGUUGUAAAGUACUUUCAGCGAGGAGGCGUUACUCGAAGAAGAAGCACCGGCUAACUCCGUGCCAGCAGCCGCGGUAAUUC
rnacentral:rRNA from 1 species